CAGUAGCCGCGGUAAUACGAAGGGUGCAAGCGUUAAUCGGAAUUACUGGGCGUAAAGCGUGCGUAGGCGGUUUGUUAAGUCUGCUGUGAAAUCCCCGGGCUCAACCUGGGAAUGGCAGUGGAUACUGGCAAGCUAGAGUGUGUCAGAGGAUGGUGGAAUUCCCGGUGUAGCGGUGAAAUGCGUAGAGAUCGGGAGGAAGAUCAGUGGCGAAGGCGGCCAUCUGGGACAACACUGACGCUGAGGCACGAAAGCGUGGGGAGCAAACAGGAUUAGAUACCCCAGUAGUUCCUGUCUCUUAUAC
rnacentral:rRNA from 1 species